AGCCGCUAUGCGGCGUACAGGGUCCAGUCACAAAAAGCCCCGAAUAUUCGGGGUUUUUUGUUAUCAGGAAAUCGAAACACUGGGCUAUAGGCCCUUUUUUU
rnacentral:sRNA from 2 species